UCUUCAUCCCCAGGCAAGCCACAAUACCCACUUGCAUGAUAGUCAUGCAGUAGCCAUGGUUUUCAACUUGAAUAUUUAAUAAAUAUUUGCUCGCUGAAAAAAUGGUUAUCGUUGUUCCGGUGAUGUUCAGAUUUGCAUGUUCACUGUUAUGCUAUGUUGUCUUAUACUCUGUGAUCAUGUUAUACCUGCUAGUAUUACAUUUCAUAUGUUUAUGCUUGUUAGUAGUACAUGUUGAUGUUGGAGAUGGUCAUGCUAGUCAGUAUGAGAUGCUUAGUGGAUAUGAGUUAUUGUUGGUAUGGUGGAAAGUUAUGUGAUACUCUCAUGGUGAUGUUGAUAUCAUGUUCAUGUAUUAUAGUGGGCAUCAUGUUAUUUUAUCAUGGCUCGGCAUAUUUGCAUUCAAGUUUAAACCGGAUUAAAUUGAACUUGAACACCUGUUGGCUGAGUCAUGGUGCCGCUUAAUCAAUGCUGACCAGUGCAACCACGCUUACCGAUAUGGGACAGUCCUAACUGGGUCUAUUGUCGUGCCUCUGGUCGGUACCUCAACUUAGGGAAGAUUAUGGGCGCGUGCUACCCUGAUCAGGUAGGCGGAGCAUAACCUUGUGAGCCCGUUGUUAAGUUAAUUUUGGUAUCGGAUCCCAGUGUGGAUCGUGUCCACGACGGUGGUCGAGGUGUCUAGAGGUAGACACGGGGCCACCCAGGACUAGCCCGGUGGGGUCUGAGUCGGAAGGGCCGGGAGAGUGUCAUGACAAUAGAUCGGUGUUGUCGGAACGCUGUUGGUCCACCCGAAUGGGAGGGCGAGGCCAUGGGUUCCGUAGUGUGGGUACAGUGUACUAACCUCUGCAGAGUGUAUAUUAAAUCUAUCGAUAGCCGCGCCCGCGGAUAAGGGCCCAGGUCGAGAGAAGGUCACACCAUGAGUCAACAGAAAUAAUAAUAAUGUGCUUAAUAACAACGAGAUGAGUUGGUUGUGAUCGCCGUAAGGAUCACGGGCCAUGGAAUGGUCGGGUUGUCAUCGCCGUAAGGAUCACGGGCCAGUUAUUGGUCGGGUUGUGAUCGCCAUAAGGAUCACGGUUUGGGACCAGUGUUGGUCGGGUAGUGAUCGCUGUAAGGAUCACGGUGGUAUCGAGGAUACCGAGUUGCUAUAUAUUCGUGAUGUUGUACGAGAGUCGUGGGUAAGAUCAAGCUCCUUGUGGUUAUUUAAUGAUCGCUACGGUAUUGUUUAUACCAAGCUUGAUUUGAUCCUGAGAUGAUCGUGUGAUGUCCGGGGUUGGUAAGUGAUGCAUGUGAUGGUUACGAGAUAACCCGAGAAGAAUAAGUGGUGCAUAUAGUGUUAUUAUGUUGCAUGCUAUUAUUGUCAGAUUAAUAUGUUCAUGUUGAGAUAGCUGUAUCAUGUUUAUGUUGGUCAUGCCAUGUUGAUCUGAUGAUAUCAUGAUAAUUCCUGUUUAACCUGUAAUUGCCAUGAUGUUGUUUGUCUUGAAUGCUUCUGGUCAUUUGUGAGCUUGCAAGUACAUUCAAUGUACUGACCUGGCGUGUCAUGCUAGCUUGCAGGUCAUUCCGGAUUUGAUUGCUUGCUUGUCGUGGUUUCCGUUCGUGCGAGUUAGGAUAUGCGUUCCAGCCAGAGUCCCUGCGGAGUGGAGUUCACCACCGUCGCCGUUGUUCCGCUGCUAGAGUUAUUCUGCUGUUUCGAGUUGUUCUGUUGCUUGCAUAGAGAAACUAAGGAUGGCGUAGUGUCGCCGUACCGAUGUUAUUCAUUGUAAUAUCGGAGACCUUGUAUUCAUAUUUGUGUAAUAAUAGAAGGCUGGUUUGUUCUAUGCUAAGCAGUGCCGUAUUCCAGAAGACUUCAUCUCGAUCUUUGGGCUGGAAUACGGGGUGUUCCGGUUUUCUCUGAGCCGGGGUGCCACAGGCUUGGUAUCAGAGCAGGUCUGGCUGUAGGACGCCCUAGACCACGCGAACCUUAGAAAGCGGUAGUAUAGACCCUAGUUGGUUUAUUGCACUUGAUUGCUGCAUUUGGUUGUUGCAUAGCAUGCAUAUAGCCUUAUUAAUUGUGAUAAUGGCUUAUCUGGUGAGUGUAGCUGGCAUCUGUCCGGAUCCACUAUAGCUCAACCUUUGCAUUUCUCCAAUUCCUUUUUCUUUAGGUGUUUGGUGUCAAUUCUGUCCCAGCAGAGUGAUGCCAAGUGAUCCUGACACUGUUUGCAAAAAUGGUGCUUAGGUAUCGCACCGAUGUCUUUCCUUCAGUCCCGCCUAUCGUUUCGGUGAUGGACACGCGUCUAUCCCGGAUCGUUCUUUUAUUUUGUCGCAUUGGCAACCCUUAACGAUCUCAGUUAUCAAGAAAGGGCAAUGUCAGCAACCUCAGUUUUCCCCGCUAUCCUAUUUCUUGGACGAGUACGGAUCUUUUUCCAUCCGCUUGAUAAUAAUGUGGUUGCGACCUUCAUGUCCCACUACAUGAUUACCGAGUACGUCCUCGCCUCCGAGCUAGUUCAGGUUGCUGCCUGGCUAAGCUAGCACUUGGUGUAGCGCUGUUUACACCAAUUCUUCCACACAUUUAUUCGUCCUCGUGCACAUCGCCACAGCAUAUUAGACCGCAAUACCGGAGUUUCCGCGAGAUUUAUGUGCUUAGGUGUGCAUGCAUAUUAUUGUGUGAGUAGCAGUAAUAUGUGAUGAUUGCUUGAUUUAUUAUAUUAGUAGAAUGCUAGUGUGCUUUUGUCGUUUCUGUUGUUCCUUUCUUUGGGCCUUCGAUGUUACAAAUUUUUCCCCUAUUAAAGUUGCUCGUCAGCCGACACUGGACCCGAAGGGUCAGCAAGAAAUGCAUAUAUUUGGAAAUUCAGCCAAACAGAAUUAUUAGCAGACUGCAGUGAAAUUGGGAAUAUCUCAUCUGAAUGCAAAAGAAAUCUUGGAUGGACCGUCAGUAUCAAGUUUGCAUUAGCAUGCACUCAUCACAACAAAAUGAUUAAAUCAGCAAGAAGAUAAGUUGUGUGCAAGGUUGACAGAAUAUUAUCAAAGGUAUGGCUUAGAUACAAGUUUAAUAUUUCGUUGAGGAUGAUUUUGGAACUCGAUGUAUCUGGAAGCAAACAAAAAUAUGGCAUAUACUUAGAAAGGAGGAUAGUCCUGCAAAACCCUGUUUCAUGCAAGAAAUCAAUAUCAGAAAUAUUUAGGUGGUUGUAUAUGUGGAAAUCGGUCUGCAUGUCACAAUAAGAAGUUUCUGGUGUAAGCAACCUAGUUUUCCCUCGCAAUAUACCAGAGGAGCUUCCAAGGCAAGAUUCCUCUGUCUUCCUCAGUACGAUACAUGGAUGAUUUUCCCGUGCAAGGUACUCUGCCUUCUUCAGUAAGCAACCGCAAAAGCUUCCGGCAUAAGGUACCGAGCCUUUCCCCAACAAAGUUUUAAGGGGGUAAGCUUCUGAAGCACGAUAUUCAGUCUUCUUCAACAAGUUGUCUGAUGAAAGUUUUUAGCACAAGCCAGCUAAUCUUCCUCAGUAAGACAUUGGUACAAGGUAGUACGCUGUGAAUUGACAGCAUAUGGCAGUGAAUCCCAAGAAUCAGAUCCGCAAUAUUUUGGUCAGAAUCAAGAAUCAGUCAGAAUACACGUCUGUCUCGGAAUCAAGUCCUCAUAUAUAUGCAAUGAGCAUACCAUCAUGAUCUUACAAGUCACUCGGAUGAGGAUCUGACAACCACGUGAGGAUGGUUAAUAAAAGAAAGCCAGUAUACACCGCAGUGUGACAAAGGAUUAUGAGGAUUUACAUUAUCAAUGAGCUCAAUACAAGUACCCGUGAACCUGGAAAAUGAUCCUGAUGAGCCCUUGUCCACUUUUCUCCAAUGACGGCACCGCACCUGUGAUCUGAGCUGAUUCUAGCUAUCCGGGGUGGAUGCCUAUUUUUGUUUCUCUCUUCAAAUGACUGUCACGAGUCUGAGCUGCUUUUCGGCCGUCUCGUACAGCUGUUGAGUUUCUUUUUGUGACAGUAGCUCUAUAGCUGCUUUUUGGCUAUUUUAGGGAGCUGCCACCUUCUUCUUAUCAACCCGGUCUCAUGCUCUGAGCUGUGUUUUUGGGCCGUCCUGAGCCGUGGUUGAGUUAUUUCAGUAAUGUCCCAGAUCUGAGUUGUAAAGACCGUUCUGGUGGCUUACUGAAGAGCCGACCACGGCAGAAAAUGGAAAAGACAAAGAAAGAGUUCUUGCCUGUGUUGCAAAGGUGUGAAAUUGAGUAAGACUCAAGAGCCGACCACGGCAGAAAAUAGAAAGAGAAUGAAAGUCAUUCCCUAUGCAUCAGUCAUAGGUUCUAUAAAAGUAUGCCAUGCUAUGGACCAGACCUAUUGUAUACUCUGCCCUGGUUUGGCAAGGGAGUACAAUAGUGAUCUAGGAGUAGAUCACUGGACAUUGGUCAAAAUUAUCCUUAGUAGAAUAAGGAUAUGUUUCUCGAUUAUGGAGGUGAUAAAAGAGUUCAUCGUAAAGAGUUACAUCGAUGCAAGCUUUUACACCGAUCCAGAUGACUCUAAGUCUCAAUCUGGAUACAUAUUGAAAGUGGGAGCAAUUAGCUAGAGUAGCUCCGUGCAAAGCAUUGUAGACAUAGAAUAUUUGCAAAAUACACACGACUCUGUAAUAUGACAGACCCGCUGACUAAACUUCUCUCACGAGCAAAACAUGAUCAUACUCUAGUAAACCCUUUGGGUGUUGAUCACAUGACGAUGUGAACUAUGAGUAUUAAUCACAUACAGAUGUGAAUAUUGGUGUUAAAUCACAUGAUGAUGUGAACUAGAUUAUUGACUCUAGUGCAAGUGGGAGACUGAAGGAAAUAUGCCCUAGAGGCAAUAAUAAAGUUAUUAUUUAUUUCCUUAUAUCAUGAUAAAUGUUUAUUAUUCAUGCUAGAAUUGUAUUAACCGGAAACAUAAUACAUGUGUGAAUACAUAGACAAACAUAGUGUCACUAGUAUGCCUCUACUUGACUAGCUCAUUUAUCAAAGAUGGUUAUGUUUCCUAACCAUAGACAAAAGAGUUGUCAUUUGAUUAACGGGAUCACAUCAUUAGGAGAAUGAUGUGAUUGACUUGACCCAUUCCGUUAGAUUAGCACUUGAUCGUUUAGUAUGUUGCUGUUGCUUUCUUCAUGACUUAUACAUGUUCCUGUAACUAUGAGAUUAUGCAACUCCUGUUUACCGGAGGAACACUUUGGGUGCUACCAAACGUCACAACGUAACUGGGUGAUUAUAAAGGAGUACUACAGGUGUCUCCAAAGGUACAUGUUGGGUUGGCGUAUUUCGAGAUUAGGUUUUGUCACUCCGAGAGGUAUCUCUGGGCCCUCUCGGUAACGCACAUCACUAUAAGCCUUGCAAGCAAUGUAGCUAAUGAGUUAGUUACGGAAUGAUGCAUUAUGUAACGAGUAAAGAGACUUGCCAGUAACGAGAUUGAACUAGGUAUUGGAUACCGACGAUCGAAUCUCGAGCAAGUAACAUACCGAUGACAAAGGGAACAAAGUAUGUUGUUAUGCGGUUUGACCGAUAAAGAUCUUCGUAGAAUAUGUAGGAGCCAAUAUGGGCAUCCAGGUUCCGCUAUUGGUUAUUGACCAAGAAUAGUUCUAGGUCAUGUAUACAUAGUUCUCGAACCCGUAGGGUCCGCACGCUUAAGGUUUCGAUGACAGUUAUAUUAUGAGUUUAUGAGUUUUGAUGUACCGAAGGAGUUCGGAGUCCCGGAUGAGAUCGGGGACAUGACGAGGAGUCUCGAAAUGGUCGAGACGUAAAGAUCGAUAUAUUGGACGACUAUAUUCGGACUUCGGAAAGGUUCCGAGUGAUUUGAGUAUUUUUCAGAGUACCAGAGAGUUACGGGAAUUCGCCGGGGAGUAUAUGGGCCUUAUUGGGCCAUACGGAAAUAGAGGAGAGAGGCCAAAAGGAAGGAGGCCUGCGCCCCCCCUCUGGUCCGAAUUGGACAAGGGGGGUAGCCCACUUUUCCUUCUCCCUCUCCUCCUCUUUCCUUCUCCAACAAGGAAAGGAGGAGUCCUACUCCUCCUCUUUCCUUCUCCAACAAGGAAAGGAGGAGUCCUACUCCCGGUGGGAGUAGGACUCCCCCCUUGGUGCGCCUCCUCCAUAGGCCGGCCACCUCCCCCCUUGCUCCUAUAUAUAUGGGGGCAGGGGGGCACCCCAAAGACACAACAACAAUUGAUCCUUGAGAUCUAUUAGCCGUGUGCGGUGCCCCCCUCCACCAUAGUCCUCCUCGAUAAUAUUGUAGCGGUGCUUAGGCGAAGCCCUGCGACGAUAGAACAUCAAGAUCGUCACCACGCCGUCGUGCUGACGGAACUCUCCCUCGACACUCGGCUGGAUCGGAGUUCGAGGGACGUCAUCGAGCUGAACGUGUGCUAGAACUCGGAGGUGCCGUAGUUUCGGUGCUUGAUCGGUCGGGCCUGAAGACGUACGACUACAUCAACCGCGUUGUUCUAACGCUUCCGCUUUCGGUCUACAAUGGUAUGUAUAUUACACUCUCCCCUCUCGUUGCUAUGCAUCACCAUGAUCUUGCGUGUGCGUAGAAAUUUUUUUAAAUUACUACGUUCCCCAACAAGAUCCCCAGACAGUUUAAGUCAGUAUUGAUCCUGACGGAUAGCCUGUCAUGAACAAAAAAUUUCCAUCCGAACCACCGUCAGUCAAGCCUGCAGAUAUUAUCAUACAGGCCAAACCCUUUAUGCUGGCCGCGACAGGAGACAAUCAAAAAUUUGGUACGGAAUCUGAUACUCACGACAGUGGAACCGGAUAAGAUGAUUCAGAAACUUCUGCGAUGAGUCAGAAUCUAUCAGGAAACGGUUAUGUGUUAACUCACUGUAUGGAACCCAAAGGACCUGCAUUUAGUGGAGAAACCCAAUGCAAUGAUUCAGUGCGUGAGUUUUCAUCAGAAAAUUCUGAUCAUCAUUAAAUGAAAGUUUGACAAUGUCGGGUGGCACACCCAGCAGAAAUCACUUUUGGAUUUGUGAGACGGACAUAUAUUUCAAUCGUGAUAAUCAAAUCACACUCAGCUAGUCAGUAGGUCUAAAAAGAAAUUGGAGCAUAUAUAAGCAUGAGCAAGCCACGUAAGAUCUGUCAGAUUGUGGAUAUAGUGAAUCAAAACCCCAGGGCCAGUCAGAUAAAAAUUUAGUGGGAACAACAAUAAAGGAAAAAGGAUACCUGAGUUGGAAACGGUUUCCUUAAGUCAGAAAAUUCAUACUUGUUCCCUGAGCAACCAAAUCUCGAGGACGAGAUUUCUUUAAGGGGGCAAGGUUUGUCACAGCCUGAUUUUUGGCCCUUUCUUUUUCUUUUGUUUUUCCGAGGUUUUUUCCUGAGUUUUCUUUUUUCGUGGCUUUGUGGUCUGGAAACUGAAAAAGAUGCCCUCUUCUUUGUAGACCCUGUCAUUUCCAUCCUAGCCCAAAUCCCAAUAUUCUUUUUAUUGGGAAUAUUCCUUCUCUAUUAAAGGAAUAACUCCAAUCGCCCUAGGUUGUGAAGCAACCUAUAUUUCCAUCACUCCCAAAAUUCCCAAAUAAUUCUCAUAAAUUGUUUGAGUCAUACUUGAUCAAAUAUGGCAAAACUCUUCAUUUCCAUGAUCAAAAAUAAUUCUCCAAUAUUCCAUUUCCUAUUUUGCCCUGAAUGGCACUUUGUGAAGGAAGUGUCAUUUAUAUUUCUCCUAUUGACUCCCAACCUUUUUGGGCAUGUUUAUAUGUCCAAAUAAUUUCCCCAUGCACAAGUUCAAAUUUAUUUGCCUAGCCAAACUUCCUCAGUGAAUUUUCAAAGUUUCUUUCUGACUGAAGGCUUUGUGAAGGAAGUGCUAGCUAGGAGUACCCAAAUGAGUUGAACUUUUGCACACUCCUUAAUGUGCUCAUAUUAACCCCUUCCACCCAUUUGCAGCCCCAUCCAAUUAACUAUGUGAGCACAGGGGCCAAUCAUUGUUUCUGGCAAUAUUUUCAAGUUGUGAAGCAAGUAUAUUUUAUACUGCUUCAAAAAUCCUGAUAAAUUACCAGAUCAUUCUUAUACCCAUAGAACAUAUCUCCACCCAUUUUGGCAUCAUUUCAUUGAUCCAUUUGACCUCCAUAAUUAUUCCAAGUUUCUGGUCAGAAAAGAUGUUUGUGAAGCAAGUGCUAUUUUGGCUUGUCCAUUUAGCAUGAUCUUUUUACAGUAUCAUCAUAUGACCAUAUGACUAAGCUUUACCCAAUCUUAGCUCAAGUGGACACUCCAUGUGAGUGCAUAUUGAUGAUCUUCAUUUCUGGACCAUUUUGGCAGUUGCAAAGCAACUAUAGGUUAUCUUGGUCUAUUUACCCUCCCAACCUCCAGGAUCAUAGUCCCUCCAUAGCUUAACAUCCCACACAUCUUGUUUGGCCUCCAGUAAUCCUCAGUUUAUCUCAUUGAGCUAAUGAAGUUUACUGCAGUAAACUUCAGAGGGUUAUAUCUUUUUUACCAGAGCCCCUUUCACCUAGUUACCACCUCAGUGCAAACCCAUCUUCGAAGGACUUACCACUAGACAUCAAAUGCCAGCUGUUUGCCUCCAGGACAUGCCAGCACUGGUGGUGACCACCGUUUUGGCAUGUCAUGAGCGCGUCCAGUGGUCGUUUGUGCUCGGGCCCCUCCCCCUCUAGCUAUCUUCGCGCCGUGCUCAUGUCCAGUGGAUUCCUCUCGUUGUCGCCGUCCACCUGGACCCCUCUCCUCCUCCGGCAGCUUCCUCGCCGACGCUCGCUGACGAACGCCCACGGGAGCCCUGUGGCCUAUCGAGUUUUAAUGGCGUUUGGCCUCUUCCUCUGCUUCCCCUGAGCCCCUCCUGCCCUGUGCGACUCUGUAGCUCGUCCGCACGCCCCCUCCUUGUGACCCCGAGCCCUCCCAUGCUCGCUGGCCGCGCCAGAGCCUCGGCCGGAUGUGCACGGCGGCACCCGAGCCACGGCCACAUGCACAUGGCCUCCCCUCCUCGCCCAGCCUAUAUAUAGGCCACUCCCGAGCUCUCCACUCGCCUCACCACUCUCCCAGGAGCUCGCCCAUGCUCUUCCGGAAGCCGGAGAACCUCUCCCCGACCACCAUUGCCGCCAUAGCCACCGAGCCCCCCUCCACCUAUAGCCACCACCAUCGUCUUCCCCACACUCCGGUGAGUCGCCCCUGCCUCUCCCCUUGUCGCCGGAGCCCCUCUAGGGCCAUGCCCCCUCGACCAGCCGCCGCCUCUGUCUCCUCGGGCCGCCUCCCCUCAUCGUCGUUCCCCUUCGCCCUGGUGGCCGCCGCCCCUCUGGAUGGAUGCGCAAGGAGUUGCCGCACCCGCGGCCUCGGUCGGGCGGGAGAUGGCCGGAGCCAGCCGGGCCAGCGCCGGCCGCACCUCUGCCUCGCCUCUCCUCUGUUCCCAUCGAGGAAGAAGAAGGAGAGCGGGAGGAGGGCGUUGACCAGCGCGUGGGUCCUGCGGGCCCCACACGUCGGCCACCCUGGAGCCGGCCCCGCCUCUGCCUUUUGACCAGUCCACCGCCACGUCAGCGUAAGUGGAAGCGUAAACCCUGAAAUAUGUUUUCCAUUUUUCUGUUUUGGCCCAGACUGUAAAAUAAAUUUUUACAAAUAGUUCCCUAGCAGAAAAACCCUUAUAACUUUUUAACUGUAACUCCGUUUGAGGUGAAUCCAACGCCCACUACUUCGUUUCGUUGAGCCUGUUCUGUUGGUCAUGUUUUCACUAUGGUUUGGCACUGUGAAAAUGACCUUUAUGCCCUUGCCCUUAUUCAGCCCCCACCGAGAGAGAACGAUUUCCGGCGAAUCUUUCCGCGGCUUCACCGCACUUCUCCCUGGUGCUUUCUUCAUCCCCAGGCAAGCCACAAUACCCACUUGCAUGAUAGUCAUGCAGUAUACAUGGUUUUCAAAUUGAAUAUUUAAUAAAUAUUUGCUUGCUGAAAAAAUGGUUAUCGUUGUUCCGGUGAUGUUCAGAUUUGCAUGUUCACUAUUAUGAUAUGUUGUCUUAUACUCUGUGAUCAUGUUAUACCUGCUAGUAUUACAUUUCAUAUGUUUAUGCUUGUUAGUAGUACAUGUUGAUGUUGGAGAUGGUCAUGCUAGUCAGUAUGAGAUGCUCAGUGGAUAUGAGUUAUUGUUGGUAUGGUGGAAAGUUAUGUGAUACUCUCAUGGUGAUGUUGAUAUCAUGUUCAUGUAUUAUAGUUGGCAUCAUGUUAUUUUAUCA
rnacentral:lncRNA from 1 species